CCCCACUAUGCCUAGCCGUAAAACUUAACUUACAUCUACAAACGCCAGAGUACUACGAGCCCUAGCUUGAAACUCAAAGGACUUGACGGUGUCCCACGAACCUAGAGGAGCCUGUUCUACAAUCGAUGAUCCACGCUACACCUGACCACCUCUUGCCAAAUUGAUGAUUAACAGCCUGUAUACCUCCGUCGUAAGCUUACCAUGUGAACGCAUAAAAGUACAGCCCAAGGAUCUUUACACCAAAACGUCAGGUCAAGGUGCAGCUUAUGAGGUGGAAGAAAUGGGCUACAAUUUCUAAUCUAGAACAAACGAAAUACUACAUGAAACAUAGUCAUGAAGGCGGAUCUAGAAGUAAGUAGGAAAUAGAGAGUCCUACUGAAUUUAGACAUGGGACGUGUACAAACCGCCCGUCACCCUCUUCGAUAGCCUUAAGACAGUUUCUAACACAACUCCGCGUCUUAGAAGAGGCAAGUCGUAACACGGUAAGUAUACUGGAAGGUGUACUUGGAAUAGCAAAAUGUAGCUUAAACAAAGCUUUUCGCUUACACCGAAAAAAUGUUUGUGUAAUUCAAACCAUUUUGAAGCCAAAAACCUAGCCUUCAACAACCCCAUGCCCUCAUCCUCACAGAUUAAUUUAAUAAAACAUUCUAACUUUCUAGUAGAGGUGAUCAAAAAAUAUAUAAGAGCUUAAGAAACAGUACCGCAAGGGAAAGAUGAAAUAGAAAUGAAAUAAGCUUAAAGCUAGUUAAAGCAGAGAUCCGAGCUCGUACCUUUUGCAUCAUGGUCCAGCCAGUCCAAUCAAGCAAAAAGAGAAUUUUAGUUUGACUUCCCGAAACUAAGCGAGCUACUUCAAAACAGCUUCAAGAGCCAACCCGUCCCUGUAGCAAUAGGGUGGGAAGAUUUUUAAGUAGAAGUGAAAAGCCUAACGAGCUUAGCGAUAGCUGGUUGUUUAGGAAAAGAACAUUAGUUCCGCCUUAAAUUUUCUUAUGCAGUAAAGCAGACCUAAAAAUUUAAGAGUAAUUCAACUGAGGCACAGCUCAAUUGAAAUAGGGUACAACCUAGACCUUAGGGUAAAUUUUAGAACACAACAAUAAGUGGGCCUAAGAGCAGCCAUCUUUAAAAAAGCGUUAAAGCUUAACCUACCCUCACCCAAAUUCCACAAACUUCAAUGAUUCCCCCCCACCCCUACUAAACAACUCCAUAAAAAUAUGGAACAUAUUAUGCUGGAACCAGUAACAAGAAUUUAAAAUUCUCUCAGAUGCAAGCAUGAGCCAGAACGGAUGGGCCACUGGCUAUUAACGAAAAUGAAUUAAUUACAGCAACACACCAAGAAAAUCCUGUCUUUAAUACUCGUCAACCUAACACUAGAGCAUCCACAGAAAGAUUAAAAGAAAGAGAAGGAACUCGGCAAAUACUGAUCCCGCCUGUUUACCAAAAACAUCGCCUCUUGAUCAACUAUAAGAGGUCCAGCCUGCCCAGUGAGAAAUUUAACGGCCGCAGUAUCCUAACCGCGCGAAGGUAGCAUAAUCACUUGUUCUUUAAAUAGGGACUCGUAUCAACGGCACCACGAGGGUCACACUGUCUCCCCUUUCCAAUCAGUGAAACUGAUCUCCCCGUGAAGAAGCGGGGAUAAACCUAUAAGACGAGAAGACCCCAUGGAGCUUUAAAUCUCACAGCAACUCUGCCAUACAAUCCCCCAUAGUCAACAGAGCCCUGCAUGUCGACUUUAGGUUGGGGUGACCACGGAGAAAAAAUUAUCCUCCACGACGAAAAGAACUAAACCUUUAUCUAAGAGCAACUCCUCUAAGAAUUAGCAUACUAACGUUCAAUGACCCGAUAAUCGAUCAACGGACCAAGUUACCCUGGGGAUAACAGCGCAAUCUACUUCAAAAGCCCAUAUCGACAAGUAGGCUUACGACCUCGAUGUUGGAUCAGGGUAUCCCAGUGGUGCAGCCGCUACUAAUGGUUCGU
rnacentral:misc_RNA from 1 species